rnacentral:tRNA from 1 species
GGGUGUGUAGCUCAGCGGUAGAGCAAUGGACUUUUAAUCCAGUGGUCAUAGGUUCGAUCCCUUUUACACCUA